GGGUGAGUAACACGUGACCGACCUGCCCCCCGCCCAGGGACAGCCCCCCGAAAGGGGGAUUAAUACCUGGUACUCCGGAAGCGGCGCAUGCCGCAUCCGGGAAAGCUCUGGCGGCGGGGGAUGGGGUCGCGGCCCAUCAGGUAGACGGCGGGGCAGAGGCCCACCGUGCCGACGACGGGUAGCCGGGUUGAGAGACCGACCGGCCACAUUGGGACUGAGAUACGGCCCAGACUCCUACGGGAGGCAGCAGUGGGGAAUUUUGCGCAAUGGGGGCAACCCUGACGCAGCAACGCCGCGUGCGGGACGAAGGCGUCCGCGUCGUAAACCGCUUUCAGCGGGGAACACUUAAACGAGGGUACCCGCAGAAGAAGCCCCGGCUAAAUACGUGCCAGCAGCCGCGGUAAUACGUAUGGGGCGAGCGUUAUCCGGAUUCAUUGGGCGUAAAGCGCGCGUAGGCGGAGCGCUAAGCGGGACCUCUAACCCGAGGGCUCAACCCCCGGCCGGGUCCCGAACUGGCGCUCUCGAGUGCGGUAGGGGAGAGCGGAAUUCCCGGUGUAGCGGUGGAAUGCGCAGAUAUCGGGAAGAACACCGACGGCGAAGGCAGCUCUCUGGGCCGAAACUGACGCUGAGGCGCGAAAGCUGGGGGAGCGAACAGGAUUAGAUACCCUGGUAGUCCCAGCCGUAAACGAUGGGCGCUAGGUGUGGGGG
rnacentral:rRNA from 1 species